rnacentral:lncRNA from 1 species
AGGGCUUCGGCGGAGCUGUUCUGCCAGGGACACUUCCCUCCGGGAGGGGAAAAUCAUCGCCAUCGUCAUCACCAACGCUCCUCUCAUCGGGAGGGGGCCAAUCUCCAUCAACAUCUUCACCAGCACCAUCUCCUCUCAAACCCUAGUUCAUCUCUUGUAUCCAAUUCUUGUCUCUAAGUCUGGGAUUGGUACCUAUAGGUUGCUAGUAGUCUUGAUUACUCCUUGUAGUUGAUGCUAGUUGGUUUAUUUGGUGGAAGAUCAUAUGUUCAGAUCCUUUAUGCAUAUUAAUACUCCUCUGAUUAUGAACAUGAAUAUGCUUGGUGAGUAGUUACGUUUGUUCCUGAGGACAUGGUAGAAGUCUUGCUAUUAGUAGUCAUGUGAAUUUGGUAUUCGUUCGAUAUUUUGAUGAGAUGUAUGUUGUCUCUCCUCUAGUGGUGUCAUGUGAACGUCGACUACAUGACACUUCACCAUUAUUUGGGCCUAGAGGAAGGCAUUGGGAAGUAAUAAGUAGAUGAUGGGUUGCUAGAGUGACAGAAGCUUAAACCCUGGUUUAUGCGUUGCUUCGUAAGGGGUUGAUUUGGAUCCAUAUGUUUCAUGCUAUGGUUAGGUUUACCUUAAUGCUUCUUUUGUAGUUGUGGAUGCUUGCAAUAGGGGUUAGUCAUAAGUUGGAUGCUUGUUCAAGUAAGAACAGCACCCAAGCACCGGUCCACCCACAUAUCAAAUUAUCAAAGUACCGAACGCGAAUCAUAUGAACGUGAUGAAAACUAGCUUGACGAUAAUUCCCAUGUGUCCUCGGGAGCGCUUUUCUCUAUAUAAGAGUUUGUCCAGGCUUGUCCUUUGCUACCAAAAAGGAUUGGGUCACCUUGCUGCACUUUGUUUACUUUUGUUAAUUGUUGCUCGUUACAAAUUAUCUUAUCACAAAACUAUCUGUUACCUAUUAUUUCAGUGCUUGCAGAGAAUACCUUGCUGAAAACCGCUUAUCAUUUCCUUCUGCUCCUCGUUGGGUUCGACACUCUUACUUAUCGAAAGGACUACGAUAGAUCCCCUAUACUUGUGGGUCAUCAAGACUCUUUUCUGGCGCCGUUGCCGGGGAGUGAAGCGCCUUUGGUAGGUGGAAUUUGGUAAGGAAAAAUUUAUAUAGUGUGCUGAAAUUUAUUGUCACUUGUUACUAUGGAAAGUAAUCCUCUGAGGGGCUUGUUCAGGGUAUCUUCACCCCGACCAAUAGAGCAAAGCGUUGCUCCUCAACCUACUGAACCUACUGAAAAUGAAAAUGUCUACUUUGAGAUUUCUUUGGGUAUGAUAGAAAAACUGCUAGCUAAUCCUUUUGCAGGAGACGAAACGAUGCAUCCUGAUGAGCACCUAAUAUAUGUGGAUGAAGUUUGUGGAUUAUUUAAGCUUGCAGGUGUGCCCGACAAUGUUAUUAAUAAGAAGGUCUUCCCUUUAUCUUUGAAGGGAGAUGCAUUGACAUGGUAUAGGCUAUGUGAUGAUAUGGGAUCAUGGAACUACAAACGAUCGAAAUUGGAAUUUCAUCAGAAGCUUUAUCCUAUGCAUCUUGUUCAUCGUGAUCACAAUUAUAUAUAUAAUUUUUGGCCUUGCUAAGGAGAAAGCAUUGCUCAAGCUUGGGGGAGGCUUAAAUCAAUGUUAUAUUCAUGCCCCAAUCAUGUCGGGGCCGGAUUUCCGGGACAUAAAUUCCCAGCAAACGACCCUUAUGUCACCACCAGCCCCAGGAUUACUGUUGCUGGUGGAUAUUUCCUUGAUACAGAAUUCCAAGAAAUUACAAGGAUUUGAGUACAAGACCUUAUAGGUCCAUUGAGUACAACAAUGAUUUCGAGUGGCAAAUAAUGGAAGCGACUCGUGGAUCUCCAACGCUGAUGGAACUCCAUUCCCACGGGAACAGCUGACCUGGAUAACUCCUAUCUCGCGCGGUUGCUAUCUCCGAAUCCUAGGUUACGGGGUGGCUUCGUAGUACUCCUCUCUGAAUCAUGAUCUGGCCAAGAUAAUAGCCAUGGACAAGCCAGUGAGUACGUUUGAAUAUACUCGCAAACAUCAAGAACAAAAUAUAUAGAGGAUGCAUAUGCUCAUAAUGAAUUAAAUUAUAUGCAUGUGCAGACUGAGAAUUCAAGCAUGGCAUGAAAAAUAUUCAUACGGUGCGGAAGGAUAAAUAAGUCAUGUUAUUAGUAAAUCAAAUAAAUGAAACGGAACAUCGGGCGUUGGACCGCCCGAGAAAUUCCAAGAGAAAUGUCAAACGGGCGUCUAAAAGAGAAUCGGGCGAGACAGGACCGCCCAAGAACUCAAGCGACACCACGAGAGGUCUUGAAAAGAAAUGCCAAACAGGUGUCUAAAAGAGAGUCGAGCGAGACAGGACCGCCUGAGAACUCAAGCGACGCCACGAGAGGUCUUGAAAAUACACGCCACAGUCGGGUGUCUGAAGCGACGCCUCAUAAAGGGCUUAUAAGAAAAUAACAUGAGCAUUCAGGUGGACUAGCCAUCCCAAGAGAUACUCACAGUUGCACAUAAGAGGAAACGGUUAGUCCACAACAAUAUUCAUGUCAACAAUAAUAUUCAUAACGGCAUCAGCAGUGACAAUAAUUACCCCGCAGGACGAACCAUGAUCAAUUUAAUUAUUUCCUCCUGAGACUGACACUAAGACCGACACUUGACCAACCCAGACUGUAGUCCUUAACCACGGACACGGCUAUUCGAAUAGAUAUAACUCUGGAGAGGGUGUACUCUUUACCCACAAGUAAAGGAUUUCUUUAGUCAACCCCGAGAUGUUGACUAAUUUCGAUUACGGUCUUUGGGAUGAAAACACACCUGACCCGCACAUACCAGCUUUAAUCCAUCAAGCCAGGGAUCACCCAAAACAAUGAUAAAGUAAAACUCUAAGUGGGAAGGCCUCAUGCAACGGCCUCCAACAGCAUGAACAUUCAGCUUCGGUCCCAGACCGGCCAUUCAUGCCCCCGGACCAAAUGACAUGACUACUGGGGCCAAUAGUAUCAUUCCCUAUGGCCUCUCUGUACGGUGUGUGUAGGAAAGGGGUUAUCAACUUACUGAACCAUACCCUACCUUUGGCAGGGACGUGUGGUAGCACGAAUCAAGUAUGGGGGUUACUGGAACAAGACUCGAUCUACGGUCAACUCAGGAGGUUUAAGUUUCCCUGCAAUGGUUAGCACAAUACAAUUCCUUGGCAGUAGCCAACAGGGUCACCACCUAGUAUGUGUCAACAUACCCUCACUGAUCAUUCUUGUCACAACGAGAUUUCAGUCUCACGGUCACUUUUCUCGUGACUGAUUCUUCUUGCAAAUUAGCCUGGACCAACACAGGCAUAUACGGUACAUGAAAAUCACCAUACUCACUCAUACUUCAUGUUAAAAUGGAGAUAGAAUAUCAUCAAGGGGAAUCAUGCAUGUAUGACCAAUACUAUGCAAAUUUCAUAUGAGUUGAAUAUAUUCAUAAUUCAAUUCUACAUGCAAACAACCACUAUGCAUUCACCAUAUCAUGUCUUCAAGAUGCUUGCCUUGAGCAUGCAGAAAGAUUAGGCGCACUCCAAAACUUUGAAAAUUAUAUCUCCCCUCCACUUCCUAUUUUCAAAAUAUUAUAAUUACCACAUAAUUCUAAAACAACACAUAAAACUUGUUUGUAAAAUUUUGAAAUAAACACUAAAAUAGGUGAAAUUUGAAAAAUAAUAGAAAAAUAAUCAAGUAAUUUGGAGUUCAUAUGAUUUUCCUAUGGAUUUACUAAGCUCGAAUAUUAAAGGAAAACGGACUAUUUAGUAGAUCCAGCAAAAACCAGGACUAGGAAAAAUGUUCACCCUAUCUGGAUAAAUACAGCAUGAUUUUGAAAGUAGGUAUAAAUUUGAAUAAUUUAAUUUGGAUAUGAAAUGGAUUCUGUGGAAUUAUUUGAAAUCUGCUGGAAAAUAAAGGGAAACAGAGAUUACUGUGAUGGGAUGAGCAGAAACGCGCCUUGGGCGCAGUAUAGCCGCCUAGCGCUACUGGGCCGAGCCCAGUCGUUUGGCUGCGUGGGAGGGUUGCGACGUCGAAGGCGUCUCUCUGUGAGUACGCUUUCCGGAGGAGGAGACGUACUUUGGGGAAAACGUCUCUACUUAAAAUGAGCUGGCACCGCGCUGAGUCACUGGCAGUGGGCCCGCCCGGCCCACUGGUCAGGUUUGACCAGUCCACGCGCGCGCCUCCUUGUCCGGCCGAACAGAGGCGGAGCUCCGGCGGUCGGCGCCGGCGAAUGGCGGCACCGUUGGGAAAACAGAGGCCACCUAAGAGCUCAGGAGGUUGAGGCGAACACGUGGGUACCCUCCUUGGUCACUGGAGUGGAGGGAGUCAUCGGCGGCGAGCUCACCCGAGGAGCUCCGGCGGAGACGAAUUGGGCGUUUCGCCUAUGGUGGCUCCCGGGCAAAAUCGAGUGUGGGGGUGGAUCAAUGGGUGCUCAAGGAGGCUAUUGGUGGAGAAACUUGUGAGAGGGAGGGCCGGACGGCGUCGGAACCAUCCGAACAGUGGCGGCGGCAGUAGUUGCCGGAAUCGGAGAAGACGACUUCCUCUGGUCGUGUUGCUGCAACGGGUGGGUCAGUGAGGGAGAGGGAGAGUGAGAUGGUGUUGUUCGAGGGCCUUGGGUGGCUUUUUAUAGGGAGGGGAGGGCAGUGCCGCGGGUUCCAGAGAUGAACACGUCGGCGGCGACCAUUGAUGGCAAAGCGCGGGCGGUGGCGAGGUAGGAGUGGCCGGCGCGGUUAGGUACGGAUGGUGGCCGUCCGUAUUUACCACGGGGUCGCGCUGGCUGGCUCGGGUGGCCUGGGCGGUGCCGUGCCCGAGCUGACCGCGGCGGCGGCCAUUCAAGGCGAGCGAGUGGGUGGUGGCGAGGCCGGUGUGUCGCUAGUGUGGCCGGUGAGCUCCGGAUGAGCUCGAGCCGUUGGCAAUUAAGCCAGAGGGGCUCGGGCAGAGACGUGGACGGCGGUGGACGGCGCUAGGGGCCAAGCGAGGGUGUCGGCGAGGUUCCCGGUGGUCGAGCUGAUCCAGAGGAGGAUCAGGAUGAGAAGGGGAGGCAGCAGAGACACGGCAGGGGCUCGGUGCCGACGCGUGCAAAACACACGCUCUGGCCGCGCCCGGUGCACGCACGUUAGGUGUUCGUCAGAUUGCCAGUGGCAUCUACAGGGACACACACGAGCUAAAAAUCAACAAGAUGGUGCUUCUAGGUAUGAGAGGAGUGAUGGACAUGCUGGUUUGGCCAAAUAACCAGGUGUCCAGUGUAAGUUAGAAAGUGGCAACAUUUCUGUCAUGCCCACAAGGUGUUUGACAGAACGCUAGGGGCAAGCUAAAGGACUUUGAUGGAUUUGAAACUUGCCAGAUUGGGAUCUCUUUAGGUGCUAGAGAUGAUGGUGGAGUUAGUUUGGCAAGAUGAGAAACUUUCUAGUGCAAGUUUUACCAGAAUUCAGUUCUGGACAGAAACUUCAGAGAAGUGUUUGGUGGACUUGCAAGUUGAAAUUGAAGCUUCCCUUCUGGACUUAAGGUACUAGUUGGAAGGACUACAAUAUGGCAAAGUUUCAGAAUUAAUGGAGCUAGAAAAAUUAGGGUUGCAGUUAUAACUCAAGAAUGGGACAGAAUUUGAAAAGAGGAUGUUUCUCUCAAAAUUUUCAAAAGACAUAGUUAGGUUUUUGCUCAAAAGUGAUUUAUAGGCAUCACCCGACCUCUCACAAUUUUUGUGGGAUUUUAAAACAAUUAUUUAAAAUAAUUGUAGUGCAAUAGAAGCAUUUUAAGUAUUGAAAAUGCUUUUAAAAGUAUUACUUGUGGCAAAUUUUAUUAUGAAAAUAUUUCCCACUGUUAUUUAUGAUACAAAUGGAAAGGCUUAUAAAACAACCACAUACCACAACACUUCACAAAAAUAAUCUUCUAUGGAGGGGAGAAUUUUUUGUAAAACAGGAAAUAGAAAAGGCUUUGAAAUUAAUAAAUGACCUAGUAUAAUUCAAAAUUUUAUUUCUGGCCAAAUUUUACUUAAUAAAAUUUGAUUAAAAUUUUGGGGUGUUACAAACUCUACCCCCCUUAAGAAAAAUCUCGUCCUCGAGAUUUGUUAAGGGCAGAAGAACUGAAAAUCACAACAAAUGAUCAUAUGCAGAAUGCAGUCAUGGCAAUGCACUUACAUACGCCCUAAAUUACAAUACAGCGGUUGCAUCAUGUAUACUAGUGCUAGGUACAGCAACAAUGACCGUCUACAGUCUGAAGGUGAGAUCUACAGGGUCUUGUGGAAGGGUUCCCGAUGCUGGAGCACAUUCUUCUUCUUCCGGGGGAAGUGAAGGAAGUAAACGAAGAACACGCCCUUCCGGAGUUGGCCAUGGUGGUCCACCAAUGGCGAUAUGGGGAUUCAGCAUAGCAAGAUAAUGGAGGUAAUCCAUUAGUUGCUGGGUUAGAUGCUCCUGGGCCAUCACAUAUUGAAUGAGAUUGGCCAGAGUUGGAUCCCUCUCUAUGCGUUCACAACGGAACGUGGCUUCUGCUCCAAAAGCUGCGCGGCUCGGGAAAUAGUAGUAUUUCCUUUCACUGGCAGCGGGUAUAGUGAACCGAACACGGGUAACUGCUUCAUAAGCAGCAGCCUCAAUAGCCAUGCCUGAGGUUGGCAUGGAUCUCCCGACGAAGACAACAUAUGGAGGGUCUUGAUUUAAAUCCUCUCGUGGGAUGUGCACAACUGCCCAGUAUUUUGAGGAAUUAGGGGUGAUCCUCAUUUUGAACAACUCAUACUGGGGUGGGUUGCUGGAACCAAGGGUAUUGCGGGUCAGAUCCCACAAAACCUUAAUGAAACUACCAGGGCUUGCAUCUGGAGUUCGUAGGUAGACUCCAGGGUGAGACAUGGAAGGAUGAAUGGAGAAGAGCGGUGCUCAAGUGUGGUGGUGGCUGGUGUGGUGUAUGGAUAUGGCCCCUUAUAAGGUGCCUGGGCUAGGAAACACGAUGCGGCGCUGGCACGACUUGUGCAUCGGCUCCGACAUAGGGUUGUCCAAGUCAAAUUCUCGGACACCACUUCUCAAAAGGAGUGUGACAUAUUACUGUGCGUGUCGGCAGUCACAUCUAGCAUUUACUCUGUCGCCAUACACCAAUAAUUUACGCUAGAUCACACAUAGUACCAUUACAACAAUGGCACACAUGUAGUUGACAAGCUCACUAUGCCAUACGAUUGGUACCUUGAAAAUACAAGACAACAGGACUACUAAGAUUUGACAAUACUCCUGGUGGACUCAGUCCACCUCAUUGACAUCUAGCCGGGCGUGUCUUGCAGAUGUCGAGGCCUCUCCGUGAGCUUCAGUGUCGGAGUUGUUCGGGGUAGGAUGGGGAGCUAUAGUGCUGGAUAGCGAUGAUGCCCCUCGUGGGGUCUCGUGGUCACAAUCCCGUUGGAGUAGGUCUCCAAGAGACGACGGAGUUCUCCUGGGGAGGCAAAGGCAUUGUCGGGGUUGAUGAUAGGAGCAGACCUUGGGGGUUCAACUGGCCUCCCAAGUAGCAUUAUUGGGGUGUCGGUGUUGGUUGCAGCUUCACUCCUUACCGGUGUCAGGAGUGCAAUCGUCCUGCGGGUCGCAAUCAGAUCAUUGGUGACCUGAUCGAAUAGUGCCUCUUGCGCCCUCAGGUAGCGCACCAGAUGCACUAGAGCAGGAUCCAACUCAUGGUCACCGUUGGCGACUUGGGUCGGGCUACCAUAGCCUUCACGACUAGGGUAGUAGAAGAAAGGGCGGGUGUUAACCCUCGGCGACAAAUGCCGAAGAUGAACUAUACCCUCUCGGCUGCAAGUUGGAUGGCUUGGGGCUCGUCGGAGGUCAUCCUUCCGGUGAACCGGUAGGGGCGUUCUGAUGUGGUGCCCCUCCCGUAGAUGUGCACCGUGGCCCAGAAGUGAUGGAUGGCAUCACUUGUGUGUUCCUGGUACACAACAUAUUCUGGGGGUUCGUCUAUGCCAAAAGCACGAUGAGUGAGAUUGGCGAGGAUCGCUACAAAAUCUCCAAGCUCGGAUGCGGUGGUCUCGUUGCGGACGAUGGGACCAUGCAUCUUGGUGGUUUGGAAAUCAAGCUGCGAGUGAAGGCGAUGAUGUGCUGAGUAAGGGCAAGGCUUCCUUUAUAAGCCAGCGGAGUCUUCCAUCGCACGCUUGCGGAUGGGACAACUCAGGUGUCGGCCACGGGCGCACGGCCUAUGGCCUAGGACAAUAGGUUGGGCACCGACUAACAAAAAUCUGUCGGGUGGCCACUAUGCAGGCUAUCGGUUAGGAUGAGCUUGACGGUGGAUAGAAAAGGAUAUGGUCGGUGUGAAAACCUAGGGAUAGUGACCAGGCUAAGAUAGGAUUAGCCGGUGGUCAGCCUAGCUCUGAUACCAAGGUUGUCGGGGCCGGAUUUCCGGGACAUAAAUUCCCAGCAAACGACCCUUAUGUCACCACCAGCCCCAGGAUUACUGUUGCUGGUGGAUAUUUCCUUGAUACAGAAUUCCAAGAAAUUACAAGGAUUUGAGUACAAGACCUUAUAGGUCCAUUGAGUACAACAAUGAUUUCGAGUGGCAAAUAAUGGAAGCGACUCGUGGAUCUCCAACGCUGAUGGAACUCCAUUCCCACGGGAACAGCUGACCUGGAUAACUCCUAUCUCGCGCGGUUGCUAUCUCUGAAUCCUAGGUUGCGAGGUGGCUUCGUAGUACUCCUCUCUGAAUCAUGAUCUGGCCAAGACAAUAGCCAUGGACAAGCCAGUGAGUACGUUUGAAUGUACUCGCAAACAUCAAGAACAAAAGAUAUAGAGGAUGCAUAUGCUCAUGAUGAAUUAAAUUAUAUGCAUGUGCAGACUGAGAAUUCAAGCAUGGCAUGAAAAUAUUCAUACGGUGCAGAAGGAUAAAUUAGUCAUGUUAUUAGUAAAUCAAAGAAAUGAAACGGAACGUCGGGCGUUGGACCGCCCGAGAAAUUCCAAGAGAAAUGCCAAACGGGCGUCUAAAAGAGAAUCGGGCGAGACAGGACCGCCCGAGAACUCAAGCGAGACCACGAGAGGUCUUGAAAAGAAAUGCCAAACGAGUGUCUAAAAGAGAGUCGGGCGAGACAGGACCGCCCGAGAACUCAAGCGAUGCCACGAGAAGUCUUGAAAAUACACGGCACAGUCGGGUGUCUGAAGCGACGCCUCAUAAAGGGCUUAUAAGAAAAUAACAUGAGCAUUCAGGUGGACUAGCCAUCCCAAGAGAUACUCACAGUUGCACAUAAGAGGAAACGGUUAGUCCACAACAAUAUUCAUGUCAACAAUAAUAUUCAUAAUGGCACCAGCAGUGACAAUAAUUACCCUGCAGGACGAACCAUGAUCAAUUUAAUUAUUUCCUCCGGAGACUGACACUAAGGCCGACACUUGACCAACCCAGACUGUAGUCCUUAACCAUGGACAUGACUAUUCGAAUAGAUAUAAUUCUGCAGAGGGUGUACUCUUUACCCACAAGUAAAGGAUUUCUUUAGUCAACCCCGAGACGUUGACUAAUUCCGAUUACGGUCUUUGGGAUGAAAACACACCUGACCCGCACAUACCAGCUUUAAUCCAUCAAGCCAGGGAUCACCCAAAACAAUGAUAAAGUAAAAAUCUAAGUGGGAAGGCCUCAUGCAACGGCCUCCAACAGCAUGAACAUUCAGCUUCGGUCCCAGACCGGCCAUUCAUGCCCCCGGACCAAGUGACAUGACUACUGGGGCCAAUAGUACCAUUCCCUAUGGCCUCUCUGUACGGUGUGUGCAGGAAAGGGGUUAUCAACUUACUGAACCAUACCCUACCUUUGGCAGGAACAUGUGGUAGCACGAAUCAAGUAUGGGGGGUUACCGGAACAAGACUCGAUCUACGGUCAACUCAGGAGGUUUAAGUUUCCCUGCAAUGGUUAGCACAAUACAAUUCCUUGGCAUUACCCAACAGGGUCACCACCUAGUAUGUCUCAACAUACCCUCAUUGAUCAUUCUCCUCACGAACGAGAUUUCAGUCUCACGGUCACUUUUCUCGUGACUGAUUCUUCUUGCAAAUUAGCCUAGACCAACACAGGCAUAUACGGUACAUGAAAAUCACCAUACUCACUCAUACUUCAUGUUAAAAUGGAGAUAGAAUAUCAUCAAGGGGAAUCAUGCAUGUAUGACCAAUACUAUGCAAAUUUCAUAUGAGUUGAAUAUAUUCAUAAUUCAAUUCUACAUGCAAACAAACACUAUGCAUUCACCAUAUCAUGUGUUCAAGAUGCUUGCCUUGAGCAUGCAGAAAGAUUAGGCGCACUCCAAAACUUGGAAAUUAUAUCUCCCCUCCAUUUCCUAUUUUCAAAAUAUUAUAAUUACCACAUAAUUCUAAAACAACACAUAAAAGUUGUUUGUAAAAUUUUGAAAUAAAUACUAAAAUAAACUAGGUGAAUUUUGAAAAAUAACAGAAAAAGAAUCAAGUAAUUUGAAGUUCAUAUGAUUUUCCUAUGGAUUUACUAAGCUGGAAUAUUAAAGGAAAAUUGACUAUUUAGUAGAUCCAGCAAAAACCAGGACUAGGAAAAAUGUGCAACCUAUCUGGCUAAAUACAACAUGAUUUUGGAAGUAGGUAGAAAUUUGAAUAAUCGAAUUCGGAUGUGAAAUGGCUUCUGUGGAAUUAUUUGAAAUUUGCUGGAAAAGAAAAAGGAAACAGAGAUUACUGUGAUGGGCUGAGCAGAAACGCGCCCUGGGCGCAGUAUAGCCGCCUAGCGCUACUGGGCCGAGCCCAGUCGUUUGGCUGCGUGGGAGGGUUGCGACGUCGAAGGCGUCUUUACUAUUGUACGUUUUCCGGUGGAGGAGACGUACUUUGGGGAAAACGUCUCCACUUAAAAUGAGCUGGCACCGCGCUGAGUCACUGGCAGUGGGCCCGCCCGGCCCACUGGUCAGGUUUGACCAGUCCACGCGCGCGCCUCCUUCUCCGGCCGAACAGAGGCGGAGCUCCGGCGGUCGGCGCCGGCGAAAGGCGGCACCGUUUGGAAAACCGAGGCCUCCUACGAGCUCAGAAGGUUGAGGCGGACAUGUGGGUACCCUCCUUUGUCGCUGGAGUGGAGGGAGUCGCCGGCGGCGAGCUCACCCGAGGAGCUCCGGCGGAGACGAAUUGGGUGUUUCGCCUAUGGUGGCUCCCGGGCAAAAUUGAGUGUGGGGGUGGAUCAAUGGGUGCUCAAGGAGGCUAGUGGUGGAUAAACUUGUGAGAGGAAGGGCCGGACGGCGUCGGAACCAUCCGAACAGUGGCGGCGGCAGUAGUUGCCGGAAUCGGAGAAGACGACCUCCUCUGGUUGUGUUGCUGCAACGGGUGGGUCAGUGAGGGAGAGGUAGAGUGAUAUGGUGCUUUUCGAGGGCCUUGGGUGGCUUUUUAUAGGGAGGGGAGGGCAGUGCCGCGGGUUCCAGAGAUGAACACGUCGGCGGCGGCCAUUGAUGGCAAAGCGCGGGCGGUGGCGAGGUAGGAGUGGCCGGAGCGGUUAGGUACGGACGGUGGUCGUCCGUAUUUACCACGGGGUCGCGCUGGCUGGCUCGGGUGGCCUGGGCGGUGCCGUGCCCGAGCUGACCGCGGCGGCGGCCAUUCAAGGCGAGCGAGUGGGUGGUGGCGAGGCCGGUGUGUCGC